GGCAUAUUAGCUUAGUUGGUUAGAGCAUCGUGUUAAAAUGCAAAGAUCGCAGGUUCGAGAUCUGCAUGGGCUA
rnacentral:tRNA from 1 species